UAAGCAGUAGCGGGUGUCAGCGAGGCUGUGAGACUUCCUUAACGUCGCUGUGAAGCCAUCACAGCAAACAUGGCCAUGAACAGAGGGGCUUUCAUCACGUCUGUGGUGGCCACCACAACACGCAAUAUUGCUUGAACAACAGCCAUCAAAGCCACAGACGCCCACUAAUACAGCCGGGUCAUUCCUACAGUUGCUAGAUUCUUUACUGGGCAGCUGUCAAAUUCGGACCAGUUUACCCUGUACAGGAGCAGAUGCUGGACCAAGUCAGGUCAGAGAGGAAGUUCCCCACAUCAAUCUCAUCUUCCGUCCCAGCCUCUUAUUACCUGCCUGCUGUUUGCUUAUUUAUGUCCUCUGUUUAGCCAAAACACACAUAGGGGGUACACCAAUUAAAUCAGGGUGGGAUCCAAGCUGUGGAUGGUUGCUAGUGAGUUUAGCAGAGAUGCUACGCGGUUUGACCCAGAAAGCGUCAAUGAGGUGACGUAGUAGACAGAUGGCAGGCUCCGAAAUGGUGGGAACGCAGUCUCUGCCAGACUGUACCUGACAGGAGCGUCAUAAUGCGUGAUAGGUGCCAAAGCGCACCCUCAGCAAGACAAAAGCUGGCUUUCUUCUCUAUUUCGCCGCUUUCCACCCCCUCUCCGAACCCCAGUACGUCCCUGGACAGGUUUCAGCGUUUAAAUUUGAAAAUGAUUUGUCCUGCCCUCUUAAUAAUAGAUGAGAGCACAUAGUUGGGGUCCCUUCAAUAAACUCCCUCCUCGCUUUAAUUAGUGAACAAAAAGCCCAGCCUGCUGAGGACUCGGGCUCGGGCGCUGUGUUGGUAAUUAAAACUGAAACCACCAAAAGGAGAGGAGGGGAAGGCUCUAUUUUUAUCGCACAGGCUGUUUGGUGCUGAGUGCCCAUGGAAGGUUUUGCAAUAAAGAGUGAUAAUGAAGGUGUGAGACCUCUGGGGGCCAGCCGGGCGCUCGCUACAAUGGUUGCUCUCACACCAGACUGAAAUACAGGGAGCAAUUAGUGAAGGCAGCAUACAGACUGGUCACUGGAGAUUAGUUAACACCUCAGGAGCUGCGCUUCAGGACAGGCACAUGCUUGUUUGCUUCCACACCAUUUGCUCUUAAAGAAUAAACUAACGCCGUGAUGAAGA